GGCCCCAUAGUUAAACUGGAUAUAACGGCGGUUUCCUAAACUGCUAUUCUGAGUUCGAUUCUCGGUGGGGCCACCA
rnacentral:tRNA from 1 species